rnacentral:rRNA from 1 species
GUGCCAGCAGCCGCGGUAAUACGUAGGGUGCGAGCGUUAAUCGGAAUUACUGGGCGUAAAGCGUGCGCAGGCGGUUUGUUAAGAUAGGCGUGAAAUCCCCGGGCUCAACCUGGGAACUGCGUUUAUGACUGGCAGGCUAGAGUAUGGCAGAGGGGGGUGGGAUUCCACGUGUAGCAGUGAAAUGCGUAGAGAUGUGGAGGAACACCGAUGGCGAAGGGAGUCCCCUGGGUCGAUACUGACGCUCAUGCACGAAAGCGUGGGGAGCAAACAGGAUUAGAUACGCUGGUAGUCCACGCCCUAA